UGCCGCGGAAGGGGUGGGAGACGGCAGGGGUGAGCUGCAGAAACGUGAUGAGGUUCGAGUUUCCCCUUGAUGCAAAUCCUCUCACUCCAGAGUGGGCAUGUGCAGACAGAGAAGACAGGAGAUGAGGAAGCUGGAUUCAGAUGCAAACCCCUUAGAGAUCCACUCUCAACUCUUCCAGAUAACUGCUGUGUGAUGUUGGGUAGGCUGCAUAGCCUCUCUGUUUUCCAAACCAUUCCGAGGCUGUAACUGUAUUCAUCUUACUGUAUGGCCGGGAGGGUUCCACUGAUGGAGCUGAUGUAGGCAGAAGAGAAGGCUGGUGCUCUGGCCUCCAUGUUGGAAUGUGAGAAGGAGGACCACACCCUGAGGAUGGCAGAAGGGGGAACAGGAUGGAGCCUGGGACAGUGAGGGCUUUGUGGAGUAUCCAAACCAGCCCUGAAUUGCCUGCAUCUGGACUUCAUUCACAUGAGAGAAAA